rnacentral:rRNA from 1 species
ACGUACACUCCUGCGGGAGGCAGCAGUGGGGAAUAUUGGACAAUGGGCGCAAGCCUGAUCCAGCCAUGCCGCGUGAGUGAUGAAGGCCCUAGGGUUGUAAAGCUCUUUCACCGGAGAAGAUAAUGACGGUAUCCGGAGAAGAAGCCCCGGCUAACUUCGUGCCAGCAGCCGCGGUAAUACGAAGGGGGCUAGCGUUGUUCGGAAUUACUGGGCGUAAAGCGCACGUAGGCGGAUCGAUCAGUCAGGGGUGAAAUCCCAGGGCUCAACCCUGGAACUGCCUUUGAUACUGUCGAUCUGGAGUAUGGAAGAGGUGAGUGGAAUUCCGAGUGUAGAGGUGAAAUUCGUAGAUAUUCGGAGGAACACCAGUGGCGAAGGCGGCUCACUGGUCCAUUACUGACGCUGAGGUGCGAAAGCGUGGGGAGCAAACAGGAUUAGAUACCCGGGUAGUCCCA